rnacentral:rRNA from 1 species
GUUAUUCGGUAUCACUGGGCUUAAAGCGUGCGUAGGCGGCCUGGCAGGUGAGAUGUGAAAGCCCACGGCUCAACCGUGGAAUUGCGUUUCAAACCGUCAGGCUUGAGGAAGACAGGGGUGUCGGGAACUUAUGGUGGAGCGGUGAAAUGCGUUGAUAUCAUAGGGAACACCGGUGGCGAAGGCGCGACACUGGGUCUUUACUGACGCUGAGGCACGAAAGCUAGGGUAGCGAACGGGAUUAGAUACCCCGGUAGUCCCAGCCGUAAACGAUGAACACUGGGUUGAGGGGACUUCCACAUCCUCUCGGCCGUAGCGAAAGCGUUAAGUGUUCCGCCUGGGGAGUAUGGUCGCAAGGCUGAAACUCAAAGAAAUUGACGGGGGCCCGCACAAGCGGUGGAGCAUGUGGUUUAAUUCGAAGCAACGCGCAGAACCUUACCCACCUUUGACAUCCUGUGACAGCUCCAGAGAUGGAGUUUUCUUCGGACACAGUGACAGGUGCUGCAUGGCU